AUUGAACGCUGGCGGCAUGCUUUACACAUGCAAGUCGAACGGACCUAGGGGCUUGCUCCUAGGUUAGUGGCGAACGGGUGAGUAAUGCAUCGGAACGUACCGUGUAAUGGGGGAUAACGCAGCGAAAGUUGUGCUAAUACCGCAUACGAUCUACGGAUGAAAGCAGGGGAUCGCAAGACCUUGCGUUAUACGAGCGGCCGAUGUCGGAUUAGCUAGUUGGUAGGGUAAAGGCCUACCAAGGCAACGAUCCGUAGCGGGUCUGAGAGGAUGAUCCGCCACACUGGGACUGAGACACGGCCCAGACUCCUACGGGAGGCAGCAGUGGGGAAUAUUGGACAAUGGGGGCAACCCUGAUCCAGCAAUGCCGCGUGAGUGAUGAAGGCCUUAGGGUUGUAAAGCUCUUUUAGUAGGGAAGAUAAUGACGGUACCUACAGAAUAAGUUCCGGCUAACUUCGUGCCAGCAGCCGCGGUAAGGAUGAGACGU
rnacentral:rRNA from 1 species